rnacentral:rRNA from 1 species
UUUACAAUGCGGGAAACRGUGAUAAGGGAACACCGAGUGCCAGCAUCAUAUGCUGGCUGUCCAGAUGUGUAAACUACAUCUGUUAGCAAGGGCCGGGCAAGACCGGUGCCAGCCGCCGCGGUAACACCGGCGGCCCGAGUGGUGACCGUUAUUAUUGGGUCUAAAGGGUCCGUAGCCGGUUUGGUCAGUCCUCCGGGAAAUCUGAUAGCUUAACUGUUAGGCUUUCGGGGGAUACUGCCAGGCUUGGAACCGGGAGAGGUAAGAGGUACUACAGGGGUAGGA